GGCUUCGUUUCCGGUUUCGGCUUGAUUUUCUUCAAAUGCAUCUCUUUAAGAUUUUCACCGACUGGAUGCAGUUUCAGAGGUGCCACUCUUGGUUCCGUUGCACGAUCUCCGACAGCCCGGCUAAAGUGGAAGAACAGGAUUGUGAACUGGUCUUUCCGGUACAAUGCAUCCUAAAACAAUUGGCCCUCGAGUCGAACUUUCCAGUUGCAUUAAACCACCAUAUUCCCUUGGCAAUGGUACAGGUAGUGGACCGGCUAUCAAACGGACCUGAAAAUGGCAAAACCUUUAAGUAUGUAAUUCAGUAAGAAAUGAUAUACAAGAUCUCAUAGUAGAUACGGGGGAUAAAACAUUAUCAAAGGAAAGCAACGAUGGAAAGAAACACGAAUAGAAGAAAACAAUGGAAUAAACUUACCCUGAGAGGCAAUGGUCUUCUCGCAAGGUGAUGCAC